UACGUAGGGGGCUAGCGUUGUUCGGAAUUACUGGGCGUAAAGGGCUCGUAGGCGGCCAACUAAGUCAUACGUGAAAUCCCUCGGCUUAACCGGGGAACUGCAUCUGAUACUGGAUGGCUUGAGAUUGGGAGAGGGAUGCGGAAUUCCAGGUGUAGCGGUGAAAUGCGUAGAUAUCUGGAGGAACACCGGUGGCGAAGGCGGCAUCCUGGACCAACACUGACGCUGAGGAGCGAAAGCCAGGGGAGCAAACGGG
rnacentral:rRNA from 1 species